rnacentral:rRNA from 1 species
AGCGAACGCUGGCGGCAGGCUUAACACAUGCAAGUCGAGCGGGCGUAGCAAUACGUCAGCGGCAGACGGGUGAGUAACGCGUGGGAACGUACCUUUUGGUUCGGAACAACACAGGGAAACUUGUGCUAAUACCGGAUAAGCCCUUACGGGGAAAGAUUUAUCGCCGAAAGAUCGGCCCGCGUCUGAUUAGCUAGUUGGUGAGGUAAUGGCUCACCAAGGCGACGAUCAGUAGCUGGUCUGAGAGGAUGAUCAGCCACAUUGGGACUGAGACACGGCCCAAACUCCUACGGGAGGCAGCAGUGGGGAAUAUUGGACAAUGGGGGCAACCCUGAUCCAGCCAUGCCGCGUGAGUGAUGAAGGCCCUAGGGUUGUAAAGCUCUUUUGUGCGGGAAGAUAAUGC